GUCCUGACAAUUGCUCCCCGUUGGGUGGAGAGCUGCUCAGGAGGAAGUCGGAAGCUCCUGAGCUGGCCCUCAGACCGGGCCGAAGCCUGGGGUCUGUAGGUGGGGGGCCUGGCCUUCUGGAUCGCGUGGUGCCAGUUGGCUGGAACCUAAUUCAGCUUCACAGGUCCAUAGUUCCUGUCCAGGAAGUAGAGUACAGCUUGGAGACUAAGGUUGGCAAGAAACCCAGGCUAGGUUCUCAAUCGAUCGGAGGACAGUACUCAUGGCUGCUAACAUCUCGGACUGGUUUUGAGGCUCACAGCCAAGGUAGACUUCAGACUUCAAUACCUUGAAGAUCCUCACUGAAGGAGACUGGCAAGUGUCUGGGGAGGAGUUGGGGGAGGGGGCAGGGGAUAGGUUCUUUCUGACCCUAUGACAGGCAGAACUGGGAGAGAGAUUAGCCUGUGGGAGCUGGGGUGGUGGGCAAGAAAGUUUACUCAGACUCAGAAACUGCCUCUCCUGCUGUCCUACUGAGAUUAAUCUCCAUGCAAUGAAAGGGAGGAAAGAGUGGGUCAGAUACCAUAGAUAAGCCAAAGUGGCAGGCAGUCGAGCCAUUGGUCACAAGCAGUAGGGUGACCAAGGACAGGCAAGCAGCCAUUUAGCAGAAAAUGCUUAGGCUGAUGGCCAGACCUGUCAGGGCAGCCAGGUCAUCCUGACAGGCCUGGAACAGCCAAGAACCACCUAAAGCUGCCGUAGCUCCAAGUCACAGGUGGUCCUGCGGUUUGGCAGAGGCAAAAUGGGAGAUGGCUGACUGGCAGGUAGUCAGCAGGCACAUGUGAUCAGAUCCAUGGUGUAAGGGUAUGGAGAGUCUGUAGGGACUGAGUCGGGCACCUUCAGGGAGCUGUGUGGAUGUUUACAGACCUACCCUGGGGGCUUUGGGUGGCCGCAUAAUAUCACAGGACCCCAGAUGGUCUAUCUCCAAAAGCCAUCUAGACCCUCCAGGACCUGGCCUCUGGAGGCCUUGUGUGGUUUGAAUGGCAGCCUCCCAGCUGGCCGCGCUGGAAGGAGAGGAGUUGGGGGCUGGCGAGCCAGCCCUAACGAAGGCCAGCCCUGCCGUCUUGUACUCUGAGGGCCAGCGGCUGGCACUCGAAGCCCUGCUGAGCAGUGGCGAGGAGACUUUCUGGGCCUGUGUGCAGCAGGAGAGGUUGCCCCCCUUUCUGAGUGCAGAUGAGGCUCAGGCCCUGGCUACGGCUGCUGAAGACUGGCUAGUACCUAGCCAGGAGCCUGGUGCAGCAGGCACGGGAACAGCCAUCACCGAUGGGGACGUGGGCAGCCUGACCUACUGGCCGAGGCAAUCUGAGGAGCCGGCACCCCUGCUGCGGCUUGGCUGGCCUGAAGACACUGCCUGGAAGGGCAUCACCCGGGCGCAACUCUACACCCAGCCACCAGGCGAGGGCCAACCACCCAUUAAAGAGUUGGUACACCAGGAAAUCCAGGCUGCUCGAAAGCUGGUGGCUGUAGUCAUGGAUGUCUUCACCGACCCUGACCUGCUCAGAGACAUGGUGGAUGCUGCUACCCGCCGAUGGAUUCCUGUCUACUUACUGCUUGACCACCAGCAUCUGCCUGCCUUCCUGGCACUAGCCCAGCAGUUAGGGGUGAACCUGUGGACCACUGAGAACCUGGAUAUCCGGACCGUGCAGGGCCACACCUUCCAGAGCCGCAGGCGACGGCAGGUGAGCGGCCAUGUGCGGGAGAAGUUCGUGCUCCUGGACGGUGACAGGGUCAUCUCGGGAUCCUACAGAUAAUCAGUGGUGUGUCCCUUACCCAUUCUCAACAUCAUGACAAUCCCAGAAUCCUCCAGACACAGCCAAGUACCCAGGGUGAAGAGGUGCUGACCAGGAACCGCUAUUCCGGAAGGGUACGGAAGACCACACUCAGCAGAUUUGUGGCCACAGCUGCCUGCGUUCAUGUGGCCAGUGGUGGGAACGUGCGUUUCUGACAAGUCCCCACGCAGCACUGACACUGUGGGUCCUGUUCACCCUUUGAGACCCCGCCUCCAUCCCUGAGACAUGCUGCUUUGGAGUGACACUAUCAUCCUGGCGUUGCCAGAGGACAGAGCGGGGUAGCCAACACAUGACCUAAGUGCUUCAAAGCUGGAUGUGGUGACACACAACAGAGAGAAGAUCACAGAGGAGGCCGUCCUUAGCUGCGCAGAGAAUUUGAGGCCAUUCUGGCAUACAGGGAACCCUGCCUCAAAAAUCAUUCCUGCUCACAAAAAAAAAAAAAAAAAGUCCUCUGAAACCCCAUCUGAUAUUGAUUUUUACCGCAUGUCACGAACUCUCAGGUGACACCAACAUAAAGCAGCAUCCGCGUCAAUGUGGAAAGAUGUGCGUCCUAGAACCAAUGGGGCACAGCUGAGCCAUGAGAGCCACAGGCCAUGCCCCACAUGAAGGCAAGCCAGGGGCUUUGCCAGCCCGCCUCCCACGGUCCUGGAAUGGAGGAAGCCAGGGCCACAGGAGGUAGACUGCACCUCUGGCCAUUUAAUGGGGGAAAGGGAUGAAGGCGGAAGCCCGGGGCACAGCCCUAGGCCCUGCAGUUCUUGUGGGUCACAGCCAGUAUUGAAGCAGCAGCAACAGGCCCAGGAGCAGCUGCAGACCCAGUGACAGGCUGGUAGCCCCUGUGGAAAGGCCAGUGCCCUUAUUGCAAAGGUGGCCAGAACAGCAGGUGGUGGUGAGACUGUAUGUGAGGCCCAUGUAGCUGAUGGGUUCCUCGCGGCCACAGCUGGUGGAGUGCACGCAGCCUUUGUUGAUGAUGGGCCCCACACCCUGGGCUACUCCGUGGCCUGUGAAGCAAUCUUCGUCAUCCCCACAGCGCAUGUGUGUGCCAGGGCACCGAGCAGAGUCAGUCAGCUCACAGAAGACGCAGUCCUUGAUGCCUGUCACACCUGGGCAAAGAACCAACACCAGAAGCAGUGGCCAGCCAAGGACCAUGGUGGCCUGGCGGCGUGGAUAGCACCCAAGCCAGGCCGGGGGCUUCCUUGACCUCCUGGAUGGCCGAGUGUGACCUCCUGGAACACCUCCUGCCCCUCGUCCUGGCCUUGGGGGUCAGCAGUUGGAGUGUUUCGGGUUCCCGAUACAACGUGUCCUUUUCAGAAGCUCUUCAGUCCUCGGGUUGGAGAUGGGCCAGCACCCCUGCUCACAAGCCUUUGGGCCAUGGAACUCAGUGACCUCACAGACACUCAGGGUUCUUGGAUAGCUGGGGGUGGGGGAGGGGAGGUAGCCUGGUCCACCACAGGCUGAGGGAACCAAGAACCUUCACCUGGCAAGCUUCACAUGGAGUGACUCACGCCUGCACCGGAGCCUGGUGACCUUGCUCACAGGAGAAAUUGCAGAUGCCUUCAACCAGGAGUUCCGUGUCCUGUACGCAGCCUCCAGGCCGCUCUCUGCAGCUCCGGCUCGAAGCCCUUUGUUCAGUCCUCCUGAGGGCCCACAGCUGCCCCGAAGCCCACACCGUGUGGCCCUGCGCUGUCCUGUGGCCCCUGUAGCCCCAUUGCUGUCUGAUGGGCCUUUGGCUCAACGCCUGGCUGCCUGUCACAUCCUCGAGCGGGACAAACAGGAGACCCCCACCACCACGGGGCCAGCUCUCAGUGACAUCUUGAGGAGUGUACAGCGCACCAGGACAACCAGUGGUCCCCCGACCCGACCCAGCCGCUCCCUAUGGGACCUUAGCCGCCUGUCCCAGCUCUCUGGCUCAAGUGAUGGUGAAAAUGAGUCCAAGAAGUUCUGGGUCUCCAAGGACACUCCAGCCAGGGCCCUGAUGAGGCAGCGGGGCACUGGAGGUGGGCCCAGAGCUGAGAUGGAUUCCCGUUCACAGCCCUGGGGUGGCCCCCUACCCUCGAUUCCAGCCCGCCGCCUGCGUUACCUAUCCCCAGCCCAAAGGAGAUUGGGGGACAAUGCCACCACAUCAGACUGGGCCUCUGGCUCAGGCUCUGGAAGGAGACGCUGACAGGAACCCUGGCCAGAUGUGGCUGGCCAGCCAUGGGUCUAGUUUAGAGCUCUAACCAGACAUUGGCUGUAUGUGAGGCCUGUAGUCUAGGAUCUUGGCAGCAGAAGGGACUGGUCUUAAUUGCUCUAGAAUUGGGUGAGCUCACUAAGAGCUUGGUGUUGCCAUCUGGGAAAUGGGCAGAGAGGUCCAGAGCAGCAGACAGGACUGCUGCAGAGACAGGCUCAGCUGCCUCACCAUGUACUAUAUAAAGAGAUAGUGGGGCAACCCCACGACAGAGAAGACAUAGAUAAAGUUGAGUCCAGGAGAGGAGAAUUAAUGGGGGUAGAGGUUGGGGCGGGGGGUGAUGGGCAAAGCUGAAAAAAAAAAACAAAGGUCUGGAAAGUACCGGGGAUACUGAGACACUGGACAAUGUCUGGAGUUUUCUGUGGGAGCUAAGGGAAGGCUUCAGAGCAUGUCCCUGUAUUCUACUCGGAUUAAACUCCAACAGCACAGACACGCGUCUCCAUGGCCUUCCUGCCCCAUCCCCUCCUGCUCCAGAGUCCAGCCUCCAGCAUCCCCCCUAGCUCUUCUUCAGACCCAGGGUUCCCCUCAGGUCUAGGGGUGCAGGCCUAUGGGACAGUGGAGCUGGCAUCCUGACUUCAAGCUCAGUGCUGGGCUCCUGGCCCCUUGUAUCUUGUGUUAUUGCUAUGAUACCCUGGCCCCUCCCCUUGUAUCUCAUGUUGUUGCUAUGAUACUCACUGAGGAGCCCAGGCUAGA